AGAGUUUGAUCCUGGCUCAGAACGAACGCUGGCGGCGCGUUUUAAGCAUGCAAGUCGAACGGGAUUCCGGGGGCAACUCCGGAUGAGAGUGGCGCACGGGUGAGUAACACGUAGGUGAUCUGCCCUGGGAUCGGGGAUAGCUCAUGGAAACAUGAGAUAAUACCGGAUACGUCCUCCACCGCGAGGUGGAGGGGAAAGCCCCUCAUGGGGGCGUCCUUGGAUGAGCCUGCGGUCCAUUAGCUAGUUGGUGAGGUAACGGCCCACCAAGGCGACGAUGGAUAGCCGGCCUGAGAGGGUGUACGGCCACACUGGGACUGAGACACGGCCCAGACUCCUACGGGAGGCAGCAGCUAAGAAUCUUCUGCAAUGGACGCAAGUCUGACAGAGCGACGCCGCGUGAACGAUGAAGGCCGCAAGGUUGUAAAGUUCUUUUCUUCGUGAGGAAUAAGGGAGAGAGGAAAUGCUCUUCUGAUGACGUAAGCGAAGGAAUAAGCCCCGGCUAAUUACGUGCCAGCAGCCGCGGUAAUACGUAUGGGGCGAGCGUUGUUCGGAUUCAUUGGGCGUAAAGGGCGUGUAGGCGGCUUGGCAAGCUUGGUGUGAAAUGUCACGGCUUAACCGUGAAUGUGCACUGAGAACUGCCAGGCUUGAGUUUUGGGGGGGAAGCUGGAAUUCCUGGUGUAGGGGUGAAAUCUGUAGAUAUCACGAAGAACACCGAUGGCGAAGGCAAGCUUCUAUCCAAAGACUGACGCUGAGGCGCGAAAGUGUGGGGAGCAAACAGGAUUAGAUACCCUGGUAGUCCACACUGUAAACGAUGUGCACUAGGCGUCGGCCC
rnacentral:rRNA from 1 species